rnacentral:tRNA from 1 species
GGGGCCGUAGCUCAGCUGGGAGAGCGCCUGCUUUGCAAGCAGGGGGUCAGGAGUUCGAUCCUCCUCGGCUCCACCA